AACGAACGCUGGCGGCAUGCCUAACACAUGCAAGUCGAACGAGUGGCGCACGGGUGCGUAACGCGUGGGAAUCUGCCCUUAGGUUCGGAAUAACAGCUGGAAACGGCUGCUAAUACCGGACGCCUGAGGAUGAGCCCACGUUGGAUUAGGUAGUUGGUGGGGUAAAGGCCUACCAAGCCGACGAUCCAUAGCUGGUCUGCGAGGAUGAUCAGCCACACUGGGACUGAGACACGGCCCAGACUCCUACGGGAGGCAGCAGUGGGGGAUAUUGCACAAUGGGCGAAAGCCUGAUGCAGCGACGCCGCGUGGGGGAUGAAGGCUUUCGGGUUGUAAACCUCUUUCGCUAUCGAACGGGUAGGUGGAGAAGAAGCGCCGGCUAACUACGUGCCAGCAGCCGCGGUAAUAC
rnacentral:rRNA from 1 species